CGUUCGAUACGGCCGGCGCUUUCAAAGCGCGAUAUUUUUUCCGAUCGCGCGCUUUUCCUUCGCCCUCGUAAGCUCUCUUUUCCUCCAUUCUCGCAUCUUCUUUCGUCCAACGUACCUCGAAAUGCUCGAAAAACCUGUGCACAUACGCCUCGAUCGAGUCGCUCGUUUCUUCACUCUUCGCGAUACUUUUUUUACACGUGGUGAAUCGAAAGAUCCUCGCAACUCGUGUGCCAAUCACGGAUUUUUUUGAAGUUUGUCGUAACGUCACAACGUACAGUGAGGACAGCUCGAAAUCAUUAACGAGGGAUUUUCGAAAAUGACAUCCUACAGGAGUUAUAGCGAUACUGGAACGUACAAAGGUCGCAGCAGCAAUGGCCUCGGCGGAAGUUUCGCCCGAAGCUCGACAGGAACUACUCUGCCAAACUAUCGGAGCACCUACACAAGUGCUGGUUCGAGCAGAGUGCCGGCCAAGGAUCGAACGACUCCGGGUUACUCGAGCCUCGACAAGAGGGAUCGUGAUAAAUCCGAUGAUAAGCCAGUUUACAAAUACUCAGCAGGAGGAAAAGAGCUGGAAAAAAGCAGACUGAAUUGUGGGCGUACUUCUGCCGAGGAUUUGAGCAGUAAAAGUUCCCUCUCGGACAGCAGAGCAUCCGUUCUUGAUAGAUAUUCGUACUCGUCGAAUCGAUCGAAUUCCGAUAGACCAUCCUCGGUACUCGAGAAGUACAGCAAUAGAGCAGCUUCGAGAGAGAAGCCCCGAGAGUCUGAUGUGUCGUCUCGUUACGUGACGAGCACGUAUCCAGGUCCGGGACUGAGAGGAAAUUAUGGAAACGACGGGAGAAUCGAGAAAAAGGAACGUAUCGAUCAUCCACCGAUUUCGUAUCGAGGACUCCGAUCGAAUUCGGGACGAAGCUCUCGCGAGCCCAGCCCUGAAGUUUCCAACAGUAAACCCCAAUUUCGAAUGUACUCGAAAACGCCCACUUAUGGAAGGAGCUCAAAUGCGGCUGGCGCAUCGGACGCGAGCGGAGUUUCGUCGAUAACCUCCAGGCUGAUGAAUCAAUCAUCGCGUUUAUCAUCGCCCAGAACGCCGAGCCUCCCGAGUGCCACAAACUCGGAGAAGAUUCGAACGCCGGUUAACAAAUCGGCCGGUUCAAUAAUCCCCAAAACCGUGGAAAAGUUGGGAAAAAGCGUUGAGUCGGCGACUGAGCCUGCGAGCGAAACGUCGCAAAAGGAUACGAAAGCAGCUCCGAAAAGAGUUGAACUAACCGAAGCCACGACGAGCCAAACGAAAGAAUUGCACGAAGGAAGGAGCGAGGAGGGAGACGAGGAAGGGGGGUCGGAGAAACAGGAAGCGGCAGCGAAUGCAACAAUAACAUUGACUAUGAUUUCUCGAUGCACUUCACCAACUCCGCCAUCCGGUUCCAGCUUUGUGAGCCGUCGGCGAGCCGACGUUGCGCGUUUGUUUCAACGAGAAAUAACGAGGAGCGUUAAGAGACCGGAAAUGCGAGAUUCGGAGAUGCAAUCCGACCGAAUGGACGACACAGCGAGGUAUUCGAGAUUCGGGAGCUCAGCAUCGAGGGUCUCUUCGCCCUGGUCAUCGUAUCUCGAUAAAUUCUCGUCCGCCGGUACGUCUACGAGGAAUUACGGAAAUUCCAGCAAUUCCAAUUCUUCCGCUCGGAUUAAUUCAUCCUUCGGUUACUCCCGCCAAAACGAAAGUCCGGGGACUGGCAGACUCGAAAUUCCUCGGGAGAGACCGUCUCCGUCUCCACCGAGAACCGGUCUAAAUAAUCGUGAAUUUCGUUCUUCAUUAACACCGGAAGUACAGGCUACUCCACAAGCAACUCUUCACAAAUCGCCGUCGCGCAGUGCCGGUGAAAGAGAAACGAGCCACGACGAUUCUUCGGCGAGCUUCCACACAGUUUCUCGAGGUGAAUCUUCCUCCGGGUGUCCUCGACAAUCUUCGUCGGAGAUUGAAAUCCAAAACCCUUCGAAAGCCCCGAACCCCGCGAGGAACGAAGACACCAGUCAAAAACGAACGAGCUCCAUUUCCAAGCUGGCGAGGGCUUCGCCCAAAAAUGAUGGUAAACUUUCUCAAUCCUCUUCGAAAUCAGAAUUGUCGGGAUCCGCCGACAAUAGUCUUACGACCGGUUCCACCUCAAUUUCAACCACCGGUUCUUCGAUCCCAAAAUCAGAGGAUCAUCAUCGCAACGUUGAUGGCCAAUCGGAAAAUUACACGGAGAAAAAUGCACGCGACGUAUUCCGGCAGAGGCGAGAAAAUUCCCAAAGUUGUACAAAUUCUUCGAUAUCAUCAAGGCGGGAGGGAUCCAAUCGUUCGGAGAGUUUAUCACCAAGUGCGAGCAAGUCGAUAUCUCGAGUGGGUUCUUCCAAGAGUGUAUCGCGUAAAAUGACGCGAAGCGAAGCUCCGUCGUCGUCGUCGUCGUCGUCGUCGACGGCACACACGUCCGACGGCGUUAAUUCUGUCAGCGUGCCAACUGGCAGAACGAAAUCUUCGAGUUCGUUGACGAGUCAGCCGAUAAAAAUAAAAACAGCGUCGUCUUCGAGUGUCGGCGGUGGCAGUCAGAAUUCGUGUAAAAACGCCAGUUCCUCGUCGUCUUCUUCGUUGUUAGGAAACGCUUCAAGUUCCCAGCUGAACAAGUCAAACUCUGGUGAGACCCGCGGUAAACCACCUGUACCGAAGACCGAUACAUCCGGGAUAAUGAAGAUUCCAAACGCCUCGGGGAAGUAUGUGAACAAAGACUUUCGUAAAUCGGCUCUCAACAUGGAGAACGGUGAUGGAUCGAGGAGCUCGAAACACGCGGACAGAAAACGUUUGACCAGAGAAAAGUGUCAAAGAAGCGUUUCUGCGAGUUCCCAAGACUCGGAAAUGAACUCCGAGUCAAAUCCGCUGGUCGCGUCCGCAGGCUCGUCCUCGGGGUCCUCAAAGUCCUCGCGUUCUCCAGGUAAAUUAAGAACGAACGAAAGUAGGUCGGACGUUUCGAAAAAAUCGGGCAGUGAAACUAAAUCGGUGUCGCCGAGCGUCUCGCGAUUAGCAACGUGUCGUAAUUCAAAGAGUCGUUCGGGAUCACCGGUGCGUCGAAAACAGGAGGCUCCUUCUUCAGGAACAUCCUCGAGUUCGGACAGUAGUUCGGAAUCAAGUUCUUCGAGCUCUUCGAGCAGCGAGAACGACGAGCCUCGGGAGCAGUCGUCGAAGGAACGUUCCAUCGGUGGCAGUAGCAAUGGAUCCAAAAGGCGACGCAAAAGGACCAUGAGUUCACCGCGCAUGGAAAGGAAAAUGAGUGUCGGCUCGUCGCGCACGAGCGUCUUACUGUCCUCGGCCGACGAAUCCUCUCUUGCUAUGGAUAAACCCCCCAGACCACCCUCCAGCCCACGAUCGCGCAGUGAGCGUUCAUCCAAAACCGAAGAUGCCAAGUCUUUUCUGAUGAGAGCACUCGCACCUGUCGCCUCCAUUUUUCGAGGCAAACAACCGGAUUCCGGCUCCGAAGAUUGGCCCGAAAACACCGACAAUUGCAACGAUCAGCUAUCCGAUUCAUCGAAAAGGCCACCGACCAUCUCCAAAUCCACUAGUCCGAGUUUGUCGAAAAGUUUGAGCUUCACCAACCCGAGCCCCCGAGACAGAUCGACGAGUGGUGACCGUUUGAGAAACACGACGAUAAAGCGAGAGUCCUCGGGUGAAAGACCCUGGUGGAUGGAUCCAAACUCGGACAAUGUCCCGGAUGGUGUGGAAAGGGUAGGGACUUGCCAGGAUGAAAUUAGCCAGGAAACUACCAUUAGCACCGUCCUUCCUGACGAUGGGAAAUUCAGGACGAAACUGUGGAAACACGAUUCGGGCGAGCGUGCUUGGUGGCUGGAUGCAAACGAUAAUGUCCCGCAGGACACGGUGAAAAAUGAAUACGCAACGUCAUCGCCGAUAUCGCGAAGGAGUACGAGCCGCUGUAGCACGAGAUCUUCGGAUUUUAGGAACCGCAUAAAGCACCAACAAUCGGGGGAGCGAGCUUGGUGGUUGAGCGAAGAUCCAUCCGAUGUUCCCGAGGGUGUUGAGAUCUUCCCCGCCGAGCCAACGUCCAACUCAACGAGCAACGACAACUCCGGGAGUCUCGCCCCGAGCGAGACUCUCUCGAGAACACUAAACGGCAUAAGGCACAUUGAAUCAGGCGAACGGGCCUGGUGGAUGGACAGCAAUUCAAAUAUUCCGGAGGGUAUCGUUAAAAUAACACCGGACAUCGAUUCGAACAGCAAUUCCGACUCAUCCGAAUCGUUUGAGAAACACGAAAUUCUAUCCAACGAUCGUAUCUCGUCGUACCAACGAAAAUCUGAAAUAUCGAGUUCUCUAUCAAGAUUUCCUCUCGAAUUUAACGCUCCGUCGAACUCGAGUCUCGAUCGUACGAUUAAUAACGAAGAACCUCUGGGAGAACGCGCUAGUCCUGAAGGGGUAGAAAAUCCGCCCGAUCCUCCGGAGAGUCAUUACGAAACCGGUAGGAAAUCACCAUACGACAAUGUGCCAAGGAAAGAGAAUCGGAGAUCUUUCCGUAAGCGACCAACGACGUUGCCACUGUUCAUUGGCAGUCACAAAAACAUAGACGAUCUUCUGGGCGAGGUAUCAUCGCCUCGUCAUAGUCCUGUGCUCUCACGGAUUCGUAAUAAUCGUCCAAUGGAAGAUUAUUCGGAAGAUAGCUCAGAAUGCGAGGAAAUAGACGCGGCCCAAGUUAUAAUCCACGAUAGUACUCCGAAAACUCCGAUAAUUCAACGGCGAAGUAGAGAUACCGAGAGACCACAACCCGACGGUUACAUUCCGCUGGACGACACAGCUCUCCAGCUUUACAAGGAUGGAGAUUACGGUGCAUAUUUGGAUCUUGAAGCGUCGAUCAACGAGCAGCAGGAAGAGUUCGAGGGUUUCCAGACCAACCGAAAAAACUCGAUCGUCUUAAGGACUCAGUUAUCCGUGCGAGUCCAUACCAUUAUCGAAAAAUUGCUGAACAGCGAGGGACGCGAGCUGCGACGGGCGCUCUUCUCCCUCAAGCAAACCUUCCAGGAGGACAAAGAUCUCGUACACGAAUUUGUACAAAAUGACGGUUUGGCCUGUCUCAUCAGAGUUGGAAAUGACGCCGAUCAGAAUUAUCAGAACUAUAUUUUACGAGCCCUCGGUCAGGUGAUGCUGUACGUGGACGGGAUGAACGGUGUUAUGGAGCACGGUCAGACAGUUCAAUGGCUGUACACACUGAUAGCGAGUCGCUUUCGUCUCGUUGUAAAAACAGCACUGAAACUUCUUCUCGUAUUCGUCGAAUACAUCGAGACGAAUAGUCUUUUGCUCGUACGAGCUGUGAGAUCGGUCGAUACUUCUCGCGGUAUGAUACCGUGGACCAACGUAAUGAGAUUGUUCAAGGACUACGACGCUGCUGAUACGGAACUUUUAAUAUACGCUACUACCCUCGUCAACAAGUGUCUCAAUGGCAUACCCGAUCAGGACACGUACUACGAUCAGGUUGAUUGCCUCGAGGAUCAAGGAAUCGAGGCCAUUAUACAGCGUUACAUGUCGAAACAGGGCACCGAUCUUGAUCUACUUGGACAGUUUCAAAUUUAUGAAGCUGUACUUCAUCACGAGGACGGAAAUGAUCGUGGCUCUCCUAUCAAGCAGCUUGACGACAACAUCAGAAAAACUCUCCGCAAUCGAAAGUCCUUGGUGGAUUCACACGGGAGACGGAAAUCACGGAGGCAUUCGACCGGCACUUCUCCACUCUCAAUGUCACUGGGCGCUCGUCUAAGUCCAGGAUUGAAUCACUCGCACGGUUUGAAUUCACUCAAUGGUACCCUCAAUUCGAGCCUUCCUGAUGACGACGAUGAAUCUAGCAGCUCCCAAAGUUCACAAGGCCUCGGCGAGGUCCAGCUUAAUGGAAGCUACAAGGAAAAUAAACCUGGUUUUCCUGUGGACGUGGGAGUGACUCCAGCCCUUAGGAGACGAAGAGAACGUGCUGAGAGACAACGCAGUUUCAUCCGAGAGCAGCAAGAAGCAACAGCGAAUAUGAGGGCUUCAAUAGUGAAUCCUGACGACCAGGAAGCUCCCUUCGCAACGAAUGGCAUGAGAUUCUCGAACGGCUCGCCGUACGAUCGAAACACGGAUUCGCCGUGUAACAAACUAUCACGAGCUAACAGUCGUAAGGAUUUAACGCCAAUUAUGAACGCGGCGAACAAGCUCGAUUCGGAGGAGAAAAAACCUUGGUACGGGAAAAGUCCGGACGAGGGUGUUGAAUGCGACGAGGGUAAUCAUACGGAUGAGGACGAAGAUCGCAGGGUCGUUAUUCCAAUAAAACGAGAGGGCACGGUCAAGGAUUUGACGCAAAAACUGACAGCUCAAAAUCUCAUACCGAGCAGCCCCGUUGAAGACAAAGUUUCGAGGAUAGGAGACAUGAGCGGUUUGAUAUCAAAGGCGAAGGAGGGUCUGGCGAAAUCGAAAUCGAAGGCGGAUGUUCUCAAGUCUCCGACCGGUGACAAUUUGCCAAAGUUAACCGAAGUGAAAAAAUCGGAAAACGAAUUGCACUGGGAGGAAUUGGUUAACAAAUUAAACCGACCGUUGGCACUGUGCGAUCUUGAUUUUACGGAUUUGACAUCGGACGAUGAGAUCGAUGUUCUGGGUCCGGUUAACGUGACCAAUGGAGUUCCACCUCCCCCGCCACCAAUGGUUGCCACACCGGCUAGUGGAUUUUCUCGGGCACCGCCACCCCCGCCUCCCGGGGGUCGUUUCCCGCCACCUUUUCCGAACGGUGUUCCUCCCCUCUUCGGUGUCAAUCUCAAGUCAACGAGAACGGGAAACAGUCCGGAGAAUUCCUCGACCAUACCAAAAAAUUCAAUCACCUCCACCUCGACCAAUCAAACGAACGGCCCGACCGGCAUCACCAAAAAAAGCAAAAAAACUGUGAAACUCUUCUGGAAAGAAGUACGCGACGAUCCUAUCAUUUUGACCCGUUUGGACAAGAACAAAAUGAUCUGGGACGAGCUACUUCCGGUGCCAGUUGACACGCAAAAACUGGAACAUCUCUUCGAGAGUCGUGCCAAGGAUCUCAUUACCAAGCAGAAGCAGCAAGAAAUGAACAAGAACAAGGAGAUCAUUGUUUUGGAUCACAAAAGAUCGAACGCAAUAAACAUCGGCAUGACCAAACUUCCACCGCCACGAUCGAUUAAAACCGCGAUCUUAAAGAUGGAUGCAACGAUUAUGAAUCGUGAGGGAAUUGAGAAACUCUUAACAAUGUUGCCGACCGAAGAGGAGAGAUCUCGAAUUCAAGAGGCGCAGGCCGCCAAUCCAGAUCUUCCACUAGGAUCGGCCGAGCAAUUUCUUCUCACUCUCGCAUCCAUCUCCGAAUUACCAGCGAGAUUGAAACUUUGGGCCUUCAAACUUGACUUCGAAAACUCUGAAAAGGAAAUUGCAGACCCUUUGAUGGAUUUGAAGCAAGGAAUGGAGACGCUGAGAGUGAAUAAAACAUUUCGCGGUAUUCUGAGCACGCUUCUAUCGAUUGGGAUAUUUCUCAACGGAAAUGAGGUGAAGGGCUUUCAGCUAGAAUAUCUUGCCAAAGUGCCCGAAGUCAAGGACACGGUUCACAAGCACUCUUUGCUCCAUCACCUGUGUCACAUGGUGAUGGAAAAGUUUCCGGACUCUACGGACCUUUACUCCGAGAUCGGAGCCGUGACAAGAGCAUCGAAGAUCGAUUUCGACGAGUUGGCAUCGAACAUCGGGAAGCUCGAGAGUGAGUGCAAGGCGUCGUGGGAUCAUCUUAAGCUUAUCACGAAGCACGACGGAUCGACAAUGAUGAAAGUCAAAAUGUCCGAUUUUCUUUCGGAUUGUGCGGAACGGAUAAUCGUCCUCGAGAUAGUGCAUCGUCGAAUAAUAAAUCGUUUUCACAAAUUCAUACUCUGGCUGGGUAUACCGCUGCAUCGAGUCCAGGAUACAAAACCGAACGAGUUCUCAAGGAUAGUCUCGGAAUUCGCCCUCGAGUAUAGAACAACCCGAGAACGUGUUAUUCAGCAGCUCGAGAAAAAAGCCAAUCAUCGGGAGAGGAACAAAACGAGAGGAAAAAUGAUUACCGAGGUGGGUAAAUUCCGCACGAAGGAAGAUCGAGCUGACGCUGAACUUCGUCAGCUACUUGGUAGCGACAUUUCCGAUGUCGAGAGUUUGCAAGGAACUCUGCCUUGGCGAAGGCAGCGCAAAGACGGACGUACAGCGUUGGGGCCGAUCAUUCGUGACGAGAGAAGCAACGGUAACGUGACGGAUGGCGAUGACGAGCUCCUCGAAUCUCUAGUUAAGACAGCUACUAAAACACCGGCAACGAGAACAACGCCCCGUGAACGCAAGAGGACGAGACACGCCGACCUUAAACGAUCACGCACUCGGGAGAACAACACUACGCCGGAAGGGUACCAACCUUGAAGGGGUUGCAUUCCCUAAUCGUGAUCGUGUCUCUCACGAUCUCGAUAAAUACACAGUGAAAUAGAUUAAUCAAAAAUGAUCAAAGUGCGUAGAACGCUGAAGAACGGUCUCUCGGAAGAGGAGAAGAAACACAUUGCCGCACACAUCAAGAGCUACUAACUGUGAUAAACUUGCCCGGAUCUACUAGCAAUUUAAACAAAGUAAUAAAUCCAACGAACAAGGUAGACCAUUAUUGCGAAAGAAUAUUCAUACUUUUUCGCUCGACAUGAUAUCGAAAGAAAAUUAUAGCAAACGGAGAUUCGAUCGAUUUCGAUCUCCCCUCCCAAUUUCAACUGUUUGAGCUGACCUUAGUGGCUUGAAACCAUGUUGCCUUAGAAUUUUCCAAUUUUACGAUCGAUUUUCCUGAUGAAUCAUUUUUGCGUUAGCGUUAUUUCAUUGCAUCGAUUGUACUUCUUUUUAGCACUUGAGAAAAUUUGCUGAUUUUAAAUGCCAGUUGAAUCGACGAGUAACAAAAGUGACUUUUCCGAAAAAAAAGAAAUUGCUUUUCGGUUUGUAGCGAAAAAAGUUGACAGCUAUCGAUCGAUCGACUAACGAUUUAAUUCACGAUUGCGCGAACAAAAUAAUCAGGACUCUGUGAUAAAGGAAAUAUUUGAAAGUAGACACGAGAUUCGUUAGUUCAUUUUCCGAAAUGAGCAUAAAAAUAAUAACCGGUUGAAAAACACCAAACAAAAAAUUCUAAUGUCUUGAAUUUCAUCAUUCGAUUCAUUGACGAUAUUUUAAGAAUAACCAGAAUCAUUAAUUCGGCUCUAUCUUGACGGAAAUUCGUCGAUCAUUAUAACUGGUAAAAAAAAACACAAAAAAAAUAAUUAUGAAGAAGAAAAUACUGAGGUAGUUUCCAUCAUGAUCGCCAGAACAAUUCAAACCGUAAAUAUGUAAUAAAUAAUUUAAUAGAAAUUUAAAAAAUGUCCUGUCCAGUCAAAAUCUUCUCGUUCUUCAAGCAUUCAAUCUAAAAUAUAGAAAAAUCUUACAUUGUCUUAAAACGUUUGCGUUACGACGUAAACAGAAGAAGAGAAAGUGAGUAAAUAAAUCGAUAAAUCGAUAAACUAUGUACAAUUACUGCGAAAAUGUUUUCACGAAAUAAAGAAAUGUUGAUAUCCAUAA